UUGUUAGAGUUUGGUUUUAGCUCUUUUUUUGCUAUUUCUACUAUUAAACACAUGGUACUUUAUGGGUUCUGGUGAGUUUUACUGAUUAUUUAUAUAUUUCUAAAUGAAGUAUAUAUUUUUAGGUAUUUGUUUUGUAUGUAUUACAUUAUGUAAAAUAAUAUAUCACUAGACACCAGUGUUGAAGAUUGAACAAUAAACGGUGGUUUGAUUCAGUAAGUGGUGUAAUAUAAUAAGGCCUGGCUAAGACUUGUGCCAGCAGCUGCGGUUACACGAGCAGGCCAAGUUAAAAAUUAAAUCGGUUAAAAAGAAGGUUAAAGGUUUAUAGUAUGAAGGUGAGAGGUUAGUUUGAAGGUUAAAUUUAUUUAUUAGUUUUAUUUUGAAUUCCUUCUAUUGCUUGAGGCCUUGAAUAUUUGGUUAAAAACACGGAUUAGAUACCCGUUUAUUCCAAAAUGUAAAAUAUGAUAUUGAUUAUUUACCAGGGUACUACGGGCAAAAAUAUUUAUAUUAAUAUUAGUUGUCUGAAACUUAAAAGACUUGGCGGUGCUUUAUUUCUAUCCAGGGGAAUCUGUCCUAUAACUGAUAAUCCGCGUUUUAGCUUUCCUUACCUCGAAUGCUUAGUUUAUUAUACUAAGUACAGUUAGUAUACCGUCGUUGUCAGGCAGCCCCUGAGGGACGAUAAGAAGCCGGGAUAAUAUAAUAUAUUAUUUAUAUAUUUAUGUUUCGAUUUCAGAUCGAGGUGCAGCUAAUGGUGAGGUGGUGAUGGAUUACUAUAUUUGGAUCAUGUUUUGUAAUAAAUAUGUGAAAGUGGACUUGGGAGUAAUUUAGAGAUUAGAAUACCUAAAUGAACAUAGUUCUAAAGUGUGCACAAAUCGCCCGUCGCUCUUGUCGAAAGAUAAGAUAAGUCGUAACAUAGUAGGGGUACUGGAAAGUGUUCCUGGAAGAAUUAUAAGUAUAGUGUAAUUUAUUUUAAAUAGAUUAAGUAAUUAGUUGAAUUACUGCUUUAAAUUAUUUAUAUAAUUAUUAAUAUUAU
rnacentral:ncRNA from 1 species